AUGAUGAUGUCCAGACCUGAGAGGAGCCCA
rnacentral:piRNA from 1 species